GGAGAAGUACCCAAGUCUGGCUGAAGGGACUGGUCUUGAAAACCAGGAGGUCGGGUAACCGGCGCGGGGGUUCAAAUCCCUCCUUCUCCGCCA
rnacentral:tRNA from 1 species